GAAAUGCGAUAAGUAAUGUGAAUUGCAGAAUUCUGUGAGUCAUCGAAUCCUUGAACGCAAAUGGCGCCUAUUGGCUCUCCAAUAGGCACGUCUGUUUGAGUGUCGGUUCCAUAACAAAAAACCAAAAAACAGAUUUUUGUUUUUUUGGGAGUUGAGGGUUUAUUUUAUUUUUGCAUCGUUUCAUGGUGCAAAAUGAAAUUCCCUUUAAAUCGAGUUCAAUUCGAGAACGAAACCAAAAAACCUUCAAAUAAGGGGAUUGGAUUCUUCCUUACCAUUUGAAAUUGGUUUUUAAUGGUUUUCGUUUCUUGUAAAACACCAUAAUUGAAGAUGCAAGUCUUCAUUUGUAAACUCACUUAUGUACCAUCUAAAACGACCUCAAAUCAGGCGAGAUUACCCGCUGAACUUAA
rnacentral:misc_RNA from 1 species